ACUCGGAUUAAAUGUCAGGAAUCGUGAAAAACUGAGUUUAAAUGUAGUUGGCUAAAGUGUAUGUAAACUUCCGACUUCAACUGUAUGUGAUUCGUGUAGAUCCAAUGAGAAAAGUUUGGGGGGGGGGGCUUUGGAUCACUGGCUGUAUGCGAACGAGUGAUGCGCGUUUGGAGCCAAUCAUUCACAUAACAGAAUGCAGCAUGUUACUGAAGAGAUACGAGACAGCCAAUGUGCUAGUUACAGUAUCAGCGUGCGCUCUGGAAAGACAGAGGAGAGUGGAAAGCCAUCAGUUUGCCAGUUAAAGUCCCCUGAAUGAUAUCGAAGAGGUUGGUGAGAAACCUGACCACAGAGACAGGGGUGAGAAGGAGGUGAGGAGAAAACUGUCAGGCUUCGAUUGUCAACUUGCAUUGGUUGAAACAAUGUUGCCAACGGGAUUGUUUGCCAAAAGAAUGCAUUGUGAACGACGAAGAAAGGCCUCUUCUGAGCAACAGAGCCCAUUAUCUGCAUCGGAAGUUGCACCUGUCGCUAUAGCACAGCCAUGCAGAGUCCAGCUAAACAGUAACGGCAGAUGUGGAUGUGUUGCUAUUACGAAGGAUGGAAUUAUAGCCCUGUUCCUUCCAGACAAGAACCCCACCUGUGCAAGAGCCCAACCUGGCAUCCAAGAGCUAAGCCGGCCAUGUUGUGAUAGGCCUAUACAAUUAAAUACAAGACAAGGACAAGAAAUAGAAUGCAGCAACCUCUCCCUGAAGAAAACCUCAACAAAUGGAUUGUGUGGUGGUGUGAUCAACAUUCAUGUCAUCAAUAUGAAAGAAGGCAGCCAUAUAUCUUCAGGAUUGAGUUCUUCGGAUGGAGUUCCUUUCCCAUGUCAUAAUGGAUCAGAACAUUGCUCAAUGUGUGAUGUAUGUUACAAUGGAGGAUUUUCCACACAGACCAAUGACAAAUGGACACAAGAACUUUUAGAUCUGCCAGUAGCCCUUGCUGGAUCAGACCAGACAGCUAAAGAAGGACAAACCAUUUUUCAAAGAGCCCAAAGGUUCCUGCCUUUGUUACACGCUGUUGGAAUCCCAUUUUGCUCUCUCUUGGUUGCUGCUGACCUGUACUUUCAUUGGAAUGGAAGUUCAUGGUGCCCUGGGAGUGGCUUUUCUAGUGUACUCUUUGGUCCAGCCUGUAACUACCAUCCUCCUCCAGUAUGAAUGGAAAGUGUCAAUGAUAGGAUGACAUUUUCAUAUAAUUCAGGCUCUUGUUAUAUCUGAUCUGUUAAUUCAAUAAAGAACUUAAU
rnacentral:lncRNA from 1 species